rfam:Macaca mulatta chromosome 3, whole genome shotgun sequence.
GGGAAACAGAAUGAAGAGCCAGCCUCGGGCCCUGCAACAAACUGGGGCG